GAGUUUGAUCAUGGCUCAGAUUGAACGCUGGCGGCAGGCCUAACACAUGCAAGUCGAACGGUAACAGGAAACAGCUUGCUGUUUCGCUGACGAGUGGCGGACGGGUGAGUAAUGUCUGGGAAACUGCCUGAUGGAGGGGGAUAACUACUGGAAACGGUAGCUAAUACCGCAUAACGUCGCAAGACCAAAGAGGGGGACCUUCGGGCCUCUUGCCAUCAGAUGUGCCCAGAUGGGAUUAGCUAGUAGGUGGGGUAACGGCUCACCUAGGCGACGAUCCCUAGCUGGUCUGAGAGGAUGACCAGCCACACUGGAACUGAGACACGGUCCAGACUCCUACGGGAGGCAGCAGUGGGGAAUAUUGCACAAUGGGCGCAAGCCUGAUGCAGCCAUGCCGCGUGUAUGAAGAAGGCCUUCGGGUUGUAAAGUACUUUCAGCGGGGAGGAAGGGAGUAAAGUUAAUACCUUUGCUCAUUGACGUUACCCGCAGAAGAAGCACCGGCUAACUCCGUGCCAGCAGCCGCGGUAAUACGGAGGGUGCAAGCGUUAAUCGGAAUUACUGGGCGUAAAGCGCACGCAGGCGGUUUGUUAAGUCAGAUGUGAAAUCCCCGGGCUCAACCUGGGAACUGCAUCUGAUACUGGCAAGCUUGAGUCUCGUAGAGGGGGGUAGAAUUCCAGGUGUAGCGGUGAAAUGCGUAGAGAUCUGGAGGAAUACCGGUGGCGAAGGCGGCCCCCUGGACGAAGACUGACGCUCAGGUGCAAAAGCGUGGGGAGCAAACAGGAUUAGAUACCCUGGUAGUCCACGCCGUAAACGAUGUCGACUUGGAGGUUGUGCCCUUGAGGCGUGGCUUCCGGAGCUAACGCGUUAAGUCGACCGCCUGGGGAGUACGGCCGCAAGGUUAAAACUCAAAUGAAUUGACGGGGGCCCGCACAAGCGGUGGAGCAUGUGGUUUAAUUCGAUGCAACGCGAAGAACCUUACCUGGUCUUGACAUCCACGGAAGUUUUCAGAGAUGAGAAUGUGCCUUCGGGAACCGUGAGACAGGUGCUGCAUGGCUGUCGUCAGCUCGUGUUGUGAAAUGUUGGGUUAAGUCCCGCAACGAGCGCAACCCUUAUCCUUUGUUGCCAGCGGUCCGGCCGGGAACUCAAAGGAGACUGCCAGUGAUAAACUGGAGGAAGGUGGGGAUGACGUCAAGUCAUCAUGGCCCUUACGACCAGGGCUACACACGUGCUACAAUGGCGCAUACAAAGUGAAGCGACCUCGCGAGAGCAAGCGGACCUCAUAAAGUGCGUCGUAGUCCGGAUUGGAGUCUGCAACUCGACUCCAUGAAGUCGGAAUCGCUAGUAAUCGUGGAUCAGAAUGUCACGGUGAAUACGUUCCCGGGCCUUGUACACACCGCCCGUCACACCAUGGGAGUGGGUUGCAAAAGAAGUAGGUAGCUUAACCUUCGGGAGGGCGCUUACCACUUUGUGAUUCAUGACUGGGGUGAAGUCGUAACAAGGUAACCGUAGGGGAACCUGCGGUUG
rnacentral:rRNA from 1 species